rnacentral:lncRNA from 1 species
AGGUCCAUCAUAAGGUUAACAAUUUUCUUUUAUACCCAAUUUCCUAAAUAUGAAACAGCCCAUUCCUAUUUUUCCUUAACAAUUGGUCCUUAAGAAAAGUGCUGGUAACACUCUUAUCAACACUCUCUCUAACACUCACUCUCUAAUUGGGUGAAACACAUGUGGGAUCUAUUUCCAAAGUGAGAGAUCCACAUUGAUUUCAACCAAUUAGAGAGUGUUCCUAGCAUUCCUCAGGUCCUUAAACUUACACCACUUGCAUAUCAACACUAUCUACCACUAUGUUAAUGAGAGGGAUGAUUACCUAGUAUUAGAGACACUCGAAAUGGGCGUGCUACUUGAAGGAAUGUCAUGUUCCUCUCCUAUAUCCUUCCUUUUAUGGGACGUGCUAUUUCCAGCUUCCUUCGAUUGAUCCAUGAACAUGCUACUUCCUGAAAAGACUGUGUCUUUCCCUUUAUCUUUCAUUUUAAUGGGCUCACUAUUUGCAAGAUUGACCACAUCCUUUCCUUUAUCCUUCCUUUUAAAGGGCGCACCGCUACUUGUAGGAAUGACCAUUUCCUUCUCUUCAUCCUUCCUUUUAUUUGAAGAAUAUCUUCGGCGGUAGCCUAUA